AUUGAACGCUGGCGGCAGGCCUAACACAUGCAAGUCGCACGAGUGGCGGACGGGUGAGUAAUGUCUGGGAACCUGCCUGAUGGAGGGGGAUAACUACUGGAAACGGUAGCUAAUACCGCAUACCAUCGGAUGUGCCCAGCUGGGAUUAGCUAGUAGGUGGGGUAAAGGCUCACCUAGGCGACGAUCCCUAGCUGGUCUGAGAGGAUGACCGGCCACGCUGGAACGGUGACACGGUCCAGACUCCUACGGGAGGCAGGAGUGGGGAAUAUUGGACAAUGGGCGCAAGCCUGAUGCAGCGAUGCCGCGGGUAGGAAGAAGGCAUUCGGGUUGUAAAGUACUUGCAGCGAGGAGGCGUUACCCGCAGAAGAAGCACCGGCUAACUCCGUGCCAUCAGCCGCGGUAAUUC
rnacentral:rRNA from 1 species